UGGGGAAUAUUGCACAAUGGGGGAAACCCUGAUGCAGCGACGCCGCGUGAGCGAAGAAGUAUUUCGGUAUGUAAAGCUCUAUCAGCAGGGAAGAAAAUGACGGUACCUGACUAAGAAGCCCCGGCUAACUACGUGCCAGCAGCGCGGUAAUAUCUCUGU
rnacentral:rRNA from 1 species